GUGAAUCAUCGAAUCUUUGAACGCAAAUUGCACUCUCCUCGGAGAGUAUGCCUGUUUGAGGGUCAGCCUAUAAAAAAUCGACAUCGUUGCUGUUUCGCGGUGGCGUUCGUCGGAAAUUGGGUCAUCUUAAAUCCUUUGGAUUUAAGCGACUUAAAAUUUUCUUUUUGGUCCAUUAAAGGUUCUAAAGUCUAUUUCUUUUACCCGUUAAGGUUUU
rnacentral:misc_RNA from 1 species